UCCGGUCUCCGGGCGACCGCCGGCGGAGCGAUCCGCGGGAGGAAAGUCCGGGCUCCACAGGGCAGGGUGAUGGGCAACGCCCACCGUCCGUCAGGACAGGGAAAGUGCCACAGAAACGACACCGCCGGGAUCCAGGCCGACGUCUGGAUCCGGCAAGGGUGAAAUGGUGAGGCAAGAGCUCACCGGCGGCCGGGCGACCGGCCGUGCAGGGCAAACCCCACCCGGAGGAAGACGCAAUAGGAGGAUCGCGCGGCCCGCGCCCAGAUCCUCGGGUAGGUCGUUCGAGGGCGUCCGCGAGGACGCUCCUAGAGAAAUGGUCGCCACCGCGCGAGCGGGACCAGAACCCGGCUUACGGGGACCGGACAUU
rnacentral:RNase_P_RNA from 1 species